GACGAACGCUGGCGGCGUGCCUAAUACAUGCAAGUAGAACGCUGAAGGAGGAGCUUGCUUCUCCGGAUGAGUUGCGAACGGGUGAGUAACGCGUAGGUAACCUGCCUGGUAGCGGGGGAUAACUAUUGGAAACGAUAGCUAAUACCGCAUAACAGUAGAUAUCGCAUGAUAUCUGCUUGAAAGGUGCAAUUGCAUCACUACCAGAUGGACCUGCGUUGUAUUAGCUAGUUGGUGAGGUAACGGCUCACCAAGGCGACGAUACAUAGCCGACCUGAGAGGGUGAUCGGCCACACUGGGACUGAGACACGGCCCAGACUCCUACGGGAGGCAGCAGUAGGGAAUCUUCGGCAAUGGACGGAAGUCUGACCGAGCAACGCCGCGUGAGUGAAGAAGGGUUUCGGAUCGUAAAGCUCUGUUGUAAGAGAAGAACGAGUGUGAGAGUGGAAAGUUCACACUGUGACGGUAGCUUACCAGAAAGGGACGGCUAACUACGUG
rnacentral:rRNA from 1 species